rnacentral:rRNA from 1 species
UACAGGGGGUGCAAACGUUGCUCGGAAUCAUUGAGCGUAAAGCGCACGUAGGCGGUUCGUUAUGUCGGAUGUGAAAGCCCUUGGCUUAACCGAGGAAGUGCAUCCGAAACUGACGAGCUAGAGUACGAAAGAGGAUCGCGGAAUUCCCGGUGUAGAGGUGAAAUUCGUAGAUAUCGGGAGGAACACCAGUGGCGAAGGCGGCGAUCUGGGACGUUACUGACGCUGAGACGCGAAAAGCGUGGGGAGCAAACAGG